UACAGAGGGGGCAAGCGUUAUUCGGAAUUAUUGGGCGUAAAGCGCACGUAGGCGGCUUUUCAAGUCGGAUGUGAAAUCCCUCGGCUUAACCAAGGAAGUGCAUCCGAAACUGGAGAGCUUGAGUACUUAAGAGGAUCGCGGAAUUCCCGGUGUAGAGGUGAAAUUCGUAGAUAUCGGGAGGAACACCAGUGGCGAAGGCGGCGAUCUGGGAAGAUACUGACGCUGAGGUGCGAAAGCGUGGGGAGCAAACAGG
rnacentral:rRNA from 1 species